rnacentral:rRNA from 1 species
GACGAACGCUGGCGGCGUGCUUAACACAUGCAAGUCGAACGGAAAGGCCCUGCUUUUGUGGGGUGCUCGAGUGGCGAACGGGUGAGUAACACGUGUGUAACCUGCCCUUGACUUUGGGAUAACUUCAGGAAACUGGGGCUAAUACCGGAUAGGAGCUCCUGCUGCAUGGUGGGGGUUGGAACGUUUCGGCGGUUGGGGAUGGACUCGCGGCUUAUCAGCUUGUUGGUGGGGUAGUGGCUUACCAAGGCUUUGACGGGUAGCCGGCCUGAGAGGGUGACCGGCCACAUGGGGACUGAGAUACGGCCCAGACUCCUACGGGAGGCAGCAGUGGGGAAUAUUGCACAAUGGGCGGAAGCCUGAUGCAGCAACGCCGCGUGCGGGAUGACGGCCUUCGGGUUGUAAACCGCUUUCGCCUGUGACGAAGCGUGAGUGACGGUAAUGGGUAAAGAAGCACCGGCUAACUACGUG